rnacentral:rRNA from 1 species
AGUGAACGCUGGCGGUAUGCCUAACACAUGCAAGUCGAACGGCAGCACAGUAAGAGCUUGCUCUUACGGGUGGCGAGUGGCGGACGGGUGAGGAAUACAUCGCAAUCUACUUUUUCGUGGAGGAUAACGUAGGGAAACUUACGCUAAUACCGCAUACGACCUACGGGUGAAAUCAGGGGAUCUUCGGACCUUUCGCGAUUGAAUGAGCCGAUGUCGGAUUAGCUAGUUGGCGGGGUAAAGGCCCACCAAGGCGACGAUCCGUAGCUGGUCUGAGAGGAUGAUCAGCCACACUGGAACUGAGACACGGUCCAGACUCCUACGGGAGGCAGCAGUGGGGAAUAUUGGACAAUGGGCGCAAGCCUGAUCCAGCCAUACCGCGUGGGUGAAGAAGGCCUUCGGGUUGUAAAGCCCUUUUGUUGGGAAAGAAAAGCAGCAGGUUAAUCCCCCGAUGUUCUGACGGUACCCAAAGAAUAAGCCCCGGCUAACUUCGUG